CCCCCACAUUGGAACUGCGACACGGUCCAAACUCUUACGGGAGGCAGCAGUGAGGAAUAUUGGUCAAUGGACGAGAGUCUGAACCAGCCAAGUAGCGUGAAGGAUGACUGCCCUAUGGGUUGUAAACUUCUUUUAUACGGGAAUAAAGUGGUCCACGUGUGGACUUUUGUAUGUACCAUAUGAAUAAGGAUCGGCUAACUCCGUGCCAGCAGCCGCGGUAAUACGGAGGAUCCGAGCGUUAUCCGGAUUUAUUGGGUUUAAAGGGACCGUAGGCGGAUUGUUAAGUCAGUUGUGAAAGUUUGCGGCUCAACCGUAAAAUUGCAGUUGAUACUGGCAGUCUUGAGUGCAGUAGAGGUGGGCGGAAUUCGUGGUGUAGCGGUGAAAUGCUUAGAUAUCACGAAGAACUCCGAUUGCGAAGGCAGCUCACUGGAGUGUAACUGACGCUGAUGCUCGAAAGUGUGGGUAUCAAACAGGAUUA
rnacentral:rRNA from 1 species